rnacentral:rRNA from 1 species
ACAUGCAAGUCGAGGGGCAGCAUGUUGGUUGCUUGCAACCAACGAUGGCGACCGGCGCACGGGUGAGUAACGCGUAUCCAACCUACCCUUGUCCAUCGGAUAACCCGUCGAAAGGCGGCCUAACACGAUAUGCGGUUCACGGCAGGCAUCUAAGGUGAACGAAAUGUGAAGGAGAAGGAUGGGGAUGCGUCUGAUUAGCUUGUUGGCGGGGUAACGGCCCACCAAGGCUACGAUCAGUAGGGGUUCUGAGAGGAAGGUCCCCCACAUUGGAACUGAGACACGGUCCAAACUCCUACGGGAGGCAGCAGUGAGGAAUAUUGGUCAAUGGGCGAGAGCCUGAACCAGCCAAGUAGCGUGCAGGAUGACGGCCCUAUGGGUUGUAAACUGCUUUUAUAGGGGGAUAAAGUGUGCCACGUGUGGCAUAUUGCAGGUACCCUAUGAAUAAGGACCGGCUAAUUCCGUGCCAGCAGCCGCGGUAAUACGGAAGGUCCGGGCGUCAUCCGGAUUUAUUGGGUUUAAAGGGAGCGUAGGCCGUUUGGUAAGCGUGUUGUGAAAUGUCGGGGCUCAACCUGGGCAUUGCAGCGCGAACUGCCAGACUUGAGUGCGCAGGAAGUAGGCGGAAUUCGUCGUGUAGCGGUGAAAUGCUUAGAUAUGACGAAGAACUCCGAUUGCGAAGGCAGCCUGCUGUAGCGCAACUGACGCUGAAGCUCGAAAGCGUGGGUAUCGAACAGGAUUAGAUACCCUGGUAGUCCACGCGGUAAACGAUGGAUGCUCGCUGUUUGCGUCUGACGUAAGCGGCCAAGCGAAAGCGUUAAGCAUCCCACCUGGGGAGUACGCCGGCACGGUGAAACUCAAGGAAUUGACGGGGGCCCGCACAAGCGGAGGAACAUGUGGUUUAAUU